AGUGAACGCUGGCGGCGUGCUUAACACAUGCAAGUCGAACGGUAACAGCAGAGCUUGCUCUGGCUGACGAGUGGCGCACGGGUGAGUAAUAUAUAGUUAAUGUGCCUCGAAGACUGGGAUAGCCAUUGGAAACGAUGAUUAAUACUAGAUAGUCCUUUCUAACAUAAGUUAGAUUGGUAAACGUUUUUUCGCUUCGAGAUCAGACUAUAUCCCAUCAGUUAGUUGGUAGUGUAAGAGACUACCAAGGCAAUGACGGGUAGCGGGUUUGAGAGGAUGAUCCGCCACACUGGUACUGAGACACGGACCAG
rnacentral:rRNA from 1 species